GUGAUUCAUGACUGGGGUGAAGUCGUAACAAGGUAGCCGUAGGGGAACCUGCGGCUGGAUCACCUCCUUAAUCGACGA
rnacentral:rRNA from 2 species